rnacentral:lncRNA from 1 species
UAACUUUUAUCACUAAACUCUGAUUUAGGCAAAGCCUAAUCCAUUUGAAAGUAGACUCAAAUAUCUUUAUUUUGACACUGAGAUUGAAUGAUUUGGAGUUUAAAUGCCUACUAAGACUUCUGUUUCAAUUAACCCUACAGAUUCUGCAAAUUAGGGACUGAAAUUUCUGACCUUCUGUUACUAAAUUGCUCAUAACUCUCUAGAGAAAAUUCUGAAUUAUACAAAGCUU